GAGGAUUUAGCUUAAUUAAAGUAGUUGGUUUGCAUUCAACUGAUGUAAGAUGUGGUCUUGCAAUCCUUA
rnacentral:tRNA from 1 species